AGUGAACGCUGGCGGUAGGCCUAACACAUGCAAGUCGAACGGCAGCACAGUAAGAGCUUGCUCUUACGGGUGGCGAGUGGCGGAUGGGUGAGGAAUACAUCGGAAUCUACUUUUUCGUGGGGGAUAACGUAGGGAAACUUACGCUAAUACCGCAUACUACCUACGGGUGAAAGCAGGGGAUCUUCGGACCUUGCGCGAUUGAAUGAGCCGAUGUCGGAUUAGCUAGUUGGAGGGGUAAAGGCCCACCAAGGCGACGAUCCGUAGCUGGUCUGAGAGGAUGAUCAGCCAAACUGGAACUGAGACACGGUCCAGACUCCUACGGGAGGCAGCAGUAGGGAAUAUUCGACAAUGGGCGCAAGCCUGAUCCAGCCAUACCGCGUGAGUGAAGAAGGCCUUCGGGUUGUAAAGCCCUUUUUUUGGGAAAGAAAAGCAGCAGGUUAAUACCCCGCUGUUCUGACGGUACCCAAAGAAUAAGCACCGGCUAACUUCGUG
rnacentral:rRNA from 1 species